rnacentral:rRNA from 1 species
GACGAACGCUGGCGGCGUGCUUAACACAUGCAAGUCGAACGGAAAGGCCCUGCUUUUGUGGGGUGCUCGAGUGGCGAACGGGUGAGUAACACGUGAGUAACCUGCCCUUGUCUUUGGGAUAACUUCAGGAAACUGGGGCUAAUACCGGAUAGGAGCUCCUGCUGCAUGGUGGGGGUUGGAAAGUUUCGGCGGUUGGGGAUGGACUCGCGGCUUAUCAGCUUGUUGGUGGGGUAGUGGCUUACAAAGGCUUUGACGGGUAGCCGGCCUGAGAGGGUGACCGGCCACAUGAGGACUGAGGUACGGCCCAGACUCCUACGGGAGGCAGCAGUGGAGAGUAUGGCGCAGUGGGCGGAAGCCUGAUGCAGCAACGCCGCGUUCGGAAUGACGUCCUUCGGGUUGUAAACCGCUUUCGCCUGAGACGAAGCGUGAGUGACGGUAAUGGAUAAAGAAGCACCGGCUAACUACGUG